UCUACUUCUUUGUUUUAUCCUUACAACAUUUCAUUGGAUCAUAGACUCUGGACUGAAAGGAACUUCAGUGGCCAACUAGUCCAAUUCUGCUCAUGUGAUAGAUGAAGAAACUGAGAGAGGCCCAGAGAAGUUGCCAUAGCCUAAGAAUUCAUCACCUACUGGCGAUCAACCUCUUCCUUCUUAACUAGACUGGUCCUUGGAAAAGAGGUGCCUGUAGUGAUCUGCACUGGACCCAGACCUCAGAGCCAGAAGUCAUACAGACAGGCAAGGAACUCUGAAAAAGUCAAAGUGCCUGGGAUUGAGCCCAAAGUGAACUUUAGAUUUGGAACUACGAUUUAAGCUCCCCUUAAUUUCUAGUUCGUUGCUACUACAAAGAGACUUGCUAUCAAUAUCAAUAUUUUUGAACAGAGGGAUCAUUUUCUUCCUCUCAUCUCUGUGGAGUAGAGUGACAUCACAGUAAAUUAUUGACUGUAUUUCAAGAAAAACAUUCUUAUUGUGAUACAAUGGUAGAACUAUAAUCUUUUUUUCUUAUUGUUUCAGAACCCCUAGAAAUUAAAUGGAACAGGAAACAA